AGAGGAAAUUAAACCCAAAUUCAUUCUCAAGGGCGUUGAAAGCUGCCGCUCGCGUAGCAACUCUCCCCAAACAAUGACGAGAGAGCUGGAGGGGAGCCAGGGCUCGGCAAGACCGGCAGGAGCGGCUACCGAGACCUUUCCUGUUCGUUGUGCAUUGAAAGGCUGAGGGGGAAACUAAAACAAACCACCAUUCCCACAGCUUCUGGGAGGAAGGCGCUCCGAGCCCGGGUCUGUGCAAGAGGCAGAGAGGGCUGAGUGAGGAUGGGACACCCAGCUCUGAAGCCUGUGAUGCCACGUGUGCAGGUAUUUGCUCAGAUUCCUGAUAGAUAACUGCACAGCAAACCCAUGCAUGCCUUCAGCUACUUCUAGUGUAUUUUAAGAAACACAUGAAACUCUUGUGCGGGAUGACUCAUAGAAUAGCAGUCCCAUUAAUGCAUUUAAACAUAAAACUCAUAUGCCAUAAAGGGAUAUCCCAGGGCCUGCAUUUCUUUCUUUCUUUUUUUUUUUUUUCCCCAGAAAUAAAAUUCCAUUAAUGCCUGCAGAUUGUUUUUGAGUGAUUCACCACAACUCUCAAAGCACGCUAUUUUAUUUGGUUCCUCUUUAUAGGUAAAAGACAUGCAAGUAUCUAUCAGACCUUUUGUUUUACUUUCCCUUCCUGGAAGUUUAAUGAUUGGAAUGCUGCUGCUGGGUGAAUUUAGCUGGUAGGAUGCCACAUGUGUGGGCUGCUUCCUCCAUCUGAGACAGCAGAAGGUGCAGGGUGGGGGGGAAGGGUAUCAGUACCUUUGGGGACAGGGAAAGGGUGCAGACAAAAAAAUGGGUGCACACAAAACAGCAAUGGACCUGCAUAAAGUUCUCAUGGGCAUUAGUAGUGUGUGCCGGUGUCCCCUGUAGCUCUUUCAGAACUGAGAUGCAGUGUGAGCAGGAAUGAAGGUGUCAAGUGUUCCCACCCUCCCAAAGAUCCGUCCAUCUCAGCUCCUGUGUCAGAUCACUGUCCCUGCUGAGGAGAGGCUGUACCAAGGAUCUGCUGCAUACAUUGUUGGAAGUUGGGUCCUUCACCUGCCCAGCCUCCCAUCCAUCUAGAACCUCGAGGUCCACACCAUGGGGACACAGUGGCACCUGAGCACAGGGCUUGGCUCGAGCUACUGGCAGCCAAAUGGGAGAUGGUACCCACUGCUCCUGAGGAAGGGAAAAAAGCACCUCUUGUCAUCCUGGCUCCCCCAAACCCACCUGGCAUGUGAGGAGAGCAGAGUACACACAGCAUUGUACCUCACAGUCCUGCCACAUUCUCCUGGUGCCUGGGCAGCCUUUCCUCACAGGGAUUCCAGCAAUUUCAUGCUCUGUAUGUCCGUCCCUGCUAACUGGAGCCCUAAAACUGGGUGAGCAGUUCCCAAAGGCCAGGAAAAGAUAACUCCUGGGGCAUUCAUCCCAGAAGCACUGGUGGGUGCCCUCUUCUAGCUGACUGUAUAUGCUGAACUACAGUUGACUGUCUACAUGUGACUGAGACAAACCAAAGCUUAAAUCUCCCAGGUCUAUGAAAAAUGAGUGAAGUUCUUGACAGAAGGAAACCUUUGUUUCUUCUUUAAAAUGCCUGGCAUGCUUUCAGUACUCAAAGCCUUAAUGCCGUGGCUUAACAUAUAGUAGCAAUUAUUACUCAAGUUAGUAUUAUGUUUUGGGUACAGAAUAUAGGAAAAGGUCCACAUCCAGAUUCCCCUCAAUCCUCACCAAAUUCAUUUCAAGAUGCAGAGCAGAGAAGGGAUUCCCACUUUGAUUUUCUGGUUUUUCUAAUUUUGGCUAAUCCCCAAAAUGCAAAAAUUAAGAAUUAAAAAAAAAAAAAAGGGAUGCCAAGGAUGUUGUCUGAUGACCUACAUGGCACGUUCUUCAUGUUCUUUUGGUCUUUUUCAAAGGGCUGAAACUUGUCCUCCUUGCCCAUCUCUGCCAGUGCUUGCAUGCAGCCCUGGUGUGGUUAGGAACCAGUGCUGAGAACAGGAGGAAUUCCAGGAAGAGAUUUGUGAAAAACUGUUGCAACAUUUCAGUAUUAUAAGAUUUUUGCAGAAAAUGGAGCUACCACAUUUGACACAGCAGCCUUGUGUUUGUUUUCAUCACACCGCUGGCUUUUAAGCAUGCAGGCUUAUCUCCUGCACUAGUCUCCUCCAGAAAUCGAAACCUGUCUUUUGGGGUCUUCUUUCUAUUCCCUACAUAAGCCUUCAUCAUUCCAUCUCCCCCUUCCCCAAAAAAGACUUUUCAGGCUCUGCCUGCUUAGCAUGUGUGAUGAAUUCUGUCAUGGCAAUCCUCAGUUGUGCCUGUGGUGAAUUUGAGCCUGAAUGGCUUUACAGCCCUUCAAAAUGAACCAGGGCAAUGUUACACAUCUCCAGCGGACAGCACUGAAAAUCAUUGGGGAGCACAGAUCAGUGCACAAUUACAGACCUAAUGCUGGGAUAAAACAUUGACUCUGUGGAUGAGUCCUGCUAUCCAAGUGCCAGAAAAAAUAAACUGCUGUGAGCCAGCAGAAUACAAGGAACCAGCACUCAGGUGUUCCAAAGGGACUUGGUACCUGUGAGGUGGGCAGGGAUGACCUUUGGAAGCAGAGUUCAGGAGGCAUCAUGCCUGGCAAAGGAUAACAGUGUGCAAGUGUUGGCACCUUCCCAACACUCGCAAAGUCUGAGGAGCUCUCAGUCAAAGGACAUUGCAGAAUCGUUACAAAAAGUAGAUCCUGCCUUGGAAAAGGCCAGUCAAAGCAAGCAGGACUGCUAGCUGUCUCCUCACUUCUGGAGUCCCAGCUGCUAGGCAAGGAUCUGGGACUGCAGCAGAAAAAAGAGCCUGUGGGAUGUGUAUCACAAAAUGGGCGCAUCCUAGCAGAGGGAAAGGUCUUACAUAGCACAGAUUUGCCAGGAAUCUGGCAAGGUGAAUAUUGCUCUUCAUAUAUUUUUUCUCUUUUUUUAAACAGACAAGCAGCUUAGUGCAUCUGUGAGAUGAAGACUGAAGAAUCCAGAAUUCCUGGUGCUCAGGCAUUGAUCCUCCCAUUUCUCUUAUUUUAUUUAAGGGAAUUUUUGUUACAUGGUUUUCAAGCAUCUACCUGCCUUGCCCUCAGCCAGUGCUUACACUCACCUGAGCAGCUGCUUUUCCUUAGAUGCUCACAAAAUUAUCACUGUUGCUCCAGUUCUCUGACCCUUUAUAACUAGAGCAGCCAGAGGCAAUGAGAAUUGUGUAACCAUCUCCCCACUUCCCAAGUGCUUGGGACAGGUCUGGUAACUUUGACAGUAUGUCUCAUGGGACACACUGAAUAAAUCUCUAUUAGAUUAGGGCACUUAUAAAUAAACUGGCUGCUUGCCACAGAAAAAAAUGAAAAGUUCUUUACUUUAGUUCCCGGAUGAGAAAGGCAAGGAACACAAAUAUUUUGGCUAAUAUUAAACUAUUGGUAAACGAUGAAAAAUCAGUAUCUUUAUUUAAAAAGUUAUCUCAAGCCAUGUAAUGAAAAUUAAACUACUGCCAGAUUGAAAGCCAACAAUAUAAAACCAGCAUGUCAUCUACAAUCUAAUGGUGUACAGAAUUACCCUGCACAGAUGGGGCUCAAAGAGUAGUCGUAUGGCCAGGUGAUAAAGAACUAAAAGUGAUGUUUUUUAUAGCAAAGCAGCAUCUGUGAUAACCCACAGCCAUCCUCAGACACUGUGGAACUUGGCGGCAGAUUCACCGCUGAGAUAUAAAACACAUGACGAGCACGUAGUGACAUCAAAAGCAGUGCAGUGUAAUGGUGCUCAGAUGUCUCCCCUCAAGCCCACACAAAAGCUGCUCUCAGGGCUGCUGUAGCUCAGAACUCUCAAUGAUUCCCUUUUGAUAAGCCUGUUUUUAACAAAUCCAAGGAGUCUUAUGAGCAGCACCUCCUGACUUUGUUCCUUCACUAACUGGAGAGCAUGAAGGCUUCUUCUGUUGCCUGGAAGACGUGUGAAGGUUCAGGUUUUAGACCUCAAAUCCUGUUUUUACUUCAGAAGUGGAUUGCACAAGCGGACAGUGAAUGAGUGUCUCCGUUUCCCUUGCGGUCAGAGAAGAUCCUAUUCAUACUGAGUUUACAAGCAAACACUUCCUUUGGUAAGCUUCCCAUGCAAUUCAAUUCAUGUGCGUGCUUUCAGACUCUGUCUUUGGGUCUGGACUAACAUCAGAACAAGCAAGAGAGGCAGGCUCUCUUCUCAGCCCACCACAGCCUUUUCUGCAGUGCUUUGAAAUGAUGAAACACACAGUGUUUUCUGCACACUGCUGCAGUCCUGUCAAGUCACUGUGAUUAUUCAUGCAUCAAGAGGCUAAGCACAUACAUGGGUAUCUACUGGAUGAUGUACACCCAUUCCAGAAUUUUACUUGCUUAACAAUCAAUCUAAUGUUUUUGCUCUUUAUAGUUACUGGCUGGAAGCCUAGAAUCUGCUGGCACCUACACACAGGAUUCUCCUCUGAGCAUUCUGUGACCACGUCAGGUGUUUGAAAUAUUAUGUAUUAACAAUAAGUACUUUAUGACCAGCAAAUAAAUUAUUAUUUAUGGAAGACUUGGAAUUUGCCAUCAGUACCUGCAGUGAGGAGCUAUCAGCUUAAGGCUUUGGCUGUAGUAACAGAAAGGAAGACCUGUCCUUGGGAUAUUCUUACAUUUUCCAUUCCAGGAAGCCUUUUUCUAAGUGCAUCUUCUUCACUGUAUAAUAAAACACUAUCCAUUAGGCAAAUGUUUAGUUAACAGACACAGCAGGAUCCAUACAUGAAGAUUUUUAGGGAAGGUGAGGAUUAAGAUUCACUCGAAAUGGCAGUGAAACUUAAUAAAGUUGCACAGUGAAUUCUAAGCUAGUUCUGGCCACAAUACUGGAGCUAUUCUUGAGAAAAAUGUCAUGAGGUACUUGUGACCACAGGUAGGUAAGACCUUUGUCAUCAGCCACUCAUGAGGAAACAUGAGUAUCCAAGAGGACAUUGUCUAAAAUAAGGCAGUGUGUUGGCCUUGGCUGUUGAGUCAUCAGUAUCACUUCCUGCAGCCCCUGCUUUUGCUCCGGGUAUUUCUCAAGGGAGCACUGACUUAGUCUUUUUGAUUCUUCUGGAAUGAAUAAGAUCACAGCUCCAGAGCAGUAAUGAUGAAUAUGUCCUUGAUUCAGAGGUAUGUGCACUCAUUUUAGCACAAAUGUGCUAAAUCUUCCAUGAGAUGCCUGCCUGAUUAGUUUUUAUCUUUAUUCAUCAUGGCUUCACUGAUUUGAAAACUUCAGACUCUCUAGUUGUAAAAUGGAGAAUUCACAGGAAGAAUCUGUACAAGUGAGAGAGCAAGCUUAAGUGAGCAAGUGUUAAUGGCUUGUGCCUCAGGGUACCACUGAAAGCUGUUGUAUGUGGAUCUCUCUUGCCCUUAAUUCACUAUUUGCCUAGACAUUUCUUUAAACCUUCAAAAUACUACGUGGAACUUCUCUAGCAGAGACAGAUUCUCACCAGUUUUCAGUGACAGAUCCUUCUCAGCUACCCUGAGGUUUGCUGCAUUUGUAAAGCACACCUUAUGGGAAAAAGAAAAUAAAAAACAAACACCUGACCUCUGAAUUUCUUUUUUAAAAUAUCAUUGCAAAAUUUCUGACGUCAGACAAUGAGACACAAAUUACCCUGUGAACUGUUAACAUAUGCCUGUUUACAUAUGAUAUCUUAUAGCCAAAGCAGAUUAAGAUUUGAAGGUUUAACUGCUGUUGAGUUUCCACUAUGUGAAUCAUACAGAUCAUACAGCUUAUUCAUCACAGGCACUUAUUUUUAUUCUUUAACUCUUUCAAGCUACUUCUUCCCAGAGUAGAGUUUAGGGGAAAUGUGGGACAUGUGGGAACAGAGAGAUCACACCUGAACUUUGCAAAUGAAGGAGCCAAGAGCUGCCAUUAACUGCAGCCACCCCAGUGAAUCAGUAGUGGUUUGUAUCUUGCACCAGGUGAGCUGACAGGCACAGAAGCCUUCCCCAGCUGCCACGGUCACUCUGUCCAUCUACCUAGUUAAGAGAAGAGCCAGCUGCAAUGGAUGCUGAUGGCCAACCCUGGAAUCUUUCCAUUUAAGGAGGAAAAUUACUUGUAAGAAGCAACAGAAGAGAACCGGCCAUGACAAAAUCAGCAGGAUGGCUCAAGUUCCAAGUUCAAAGAAAAAAAAAUACCAUUCAUCACUCUAGGAUUCCUUGGGUGCUAUGAUAUAGUUUAAAUUCAGAAAUGCCAAACAUUUUGGUGAAAACUCCAUUGAUUUCAGUAAACACAGGCAGUUCAUUCUAGCACUUGAAUCUAUUUGGUGCAUCACUGAUUCCAAUGGAACUCAAGUACUCUCACCAGCAACGCUGGCACAAGUGAACAAGUAUCUGUCUUUUCCUGGAUAACAUGGUCAUAUUUUAAAAGAGGCAUCUCUGCUGAUAAAAGAAAGAAACCUACCUCCAUUUAAAUACACAUGCCUAUUCACCUCAGAUGUGAUUGUUAUUAAAGCUGGGCAGGCCAGUGCUGCCAUCUCUUUCAGGUGAAACCAAGAAGGAUUUCAGAACUUCACUUGCUGUUCAGCUUCUCUGAUUCACUGACACUGCCUGUCUCAGGCUAGCAAAGGAGAGAAGGAAGAUGAUGUAGUUUGAAGCAGGAAUAUGAACAUCCAAAAAUACCUUUCCUCUUGGAGUGGCCAUAAGUGACUGUUUGACUAUUUGUUCUUUUCAUUUAAAGUAUUGCUUCAGAUUUGUUUGGUUUUUGUCUCCCAGCUGCAUCAUCUUAAGCAGGCAGUCCACCUUAUUACCUGUGGAUUAGCUAACAGAGGCUGAGUGCAGCACUGUGAUGGGUCAAGUCUCUUUUUCACGUAGGACAACAA